AAGUCGUAACAAGGUUUCCGUAGGUGAACCUGCGGAAGGAUCAUUAAUAAAAGGCCGAUUAGGUUUUUAAACAUAAUCAACACCUUUUGUGCACUGUAUUCUAACAACAUCUUUCCGGCUACUUGCGUUUUGAUGGGGACUUUUGUCCCUGUCUAUAAUGCUAGCCGGGAAGUGUUACUUCAAAACCCUUUGAUAACUUAACUUUGUCUAAUACUAUCUGACUUAAAAAAUCAGAAACCAUAUUAACAAAAUACAACUUUCAACAAUGGAUCUCUUGGCUCUC
rnacentral:misc_RNA from 1 species